CCGAAGUCGAACCAGACUUGCAGCACUUCGGGGAAGAUUGUUGCGCCUCUGGAAAUUUCCCACACGGACGCGCCCAUUUCGAACAGAGAGUACACCGCCACUAUACUAUUUGCAGCUAGAACGAAUCUGAACGGAUUCACGUUGUACCAGCGUGGAGAAUCGGUGCCGCGAGUGUUGGUGACCAUGAAGACGGAGGAGGUGAGGGAGAACGAGAAGGUGGUGAGGCGGAAGAUGAGGAUGAGGGAAUUGAAACGACGCAGUUUGUGUUCGGCCACCGUGGAGUGGAAACGAGGUUGCGCCGUCGGUGAACGGUUAUCGCCUCCGUUGCGGAUGGCCUGAGGGGAUCGCAUGGCCGUUCGAUUUGGUUUCAUGAUGAAGGAGUCACGGACGAGAGCAAGAGUUCCAUGAGUCAAGAGAGAGAGAGAGAGAGAGCUCGAUAUGUGUUCGAUAAAAGUUGUUCGAGACAGAAAGCGUGCAACAGGCAAGGCAUGGUUGCGAGG